rnacentral:lncRNA from 1 species
AGUCAGUCAGUGAGAAGCAAAGGUACGUUGGAGAGCAACUAAAAUCUGACUGAUUUCCAUCUUUGGAGCAUCAGAUGUAUUCCCUAAGGAGGAUGGGUCUCCGUGAUGGGGGUGGUAUAAUUAUGUUAAUGUCAUUUUUAUGGAGGGGUGAGAUUUUUCAUUCUGAUAAUUGGUUGAAUGCUAUGGUCAAAAAUUGUAAAGCCAUAUUCAGUUUUAGGGAAAAGCAUGGACUUAGAUCUAAGGGCUGUUUUAUUUUUUCGCUUUUUGUGAGUGCUGCUUUUUUGUUUUUUUGGUUUUUGUUUUUUAACUAUUUAUUUUAAGCCAUAAGUGAUUCAGUAUGGGAAAUCAAAUGAUAAACAGAAAGAGAUCUUAUAUAAUGAUGCAUUACAUCAUGGAGCAGAAUAUUUAAAGUCUUACAAGGCAGAGUAAAGAUCUGGACAGGGGGUGGGGGGUGGUGGUUGGAAAGGGGUGUGGUACUAGGGUGGAGGAGGGGGGCCAAUUACCAAAUAUUUUGUGCAGUAUAGCUUUCCUUGCAGCUUACUUGGAAAUGGAUGAUUCACCUGUUCUACAGGAAAACAUUCUAAUUCUUUCCAUUUUUUUUUUUUUCCUCCUCUUUUCCCUUUUAAGAUCAACCACCUCAGAAGAGCCAGAUUCCACUUCUGUGGCCAGGACUUUUACAUUAUGGCUGGUCCGAUUGUUUUACCCUGCGUUCUAUGCUACUAAACCUUGGAUCAUUCCUAAAGUACAAAUUCUGUUCUCGAACCACAAACAAGGCUAAAAGAUCGGAGGAAAUUCAGUGAAUAUACAGGAUUGGGGUUGUGUAUUUUUAAAAGUAUUGAGCUUUAUAAUGUAAUUAUUCAAGAAAUAGAAUCAUGGUUUUUUUAUGAUGUUGCCAGCAUUUUAAAUUACAUGUUUAUUAAGUGGCAUUGCUCAAAUAACUACAGAGUAUGCGUGGAAAUAUUUGCUGUCUGAAUAGUUUGGAGAUUCAAAGAGAAAAAUCAAGCUUCAGAGGUAUUAAAUUAUGACAUGCAGAAAAGUUUUUGUUUUGUUCUUAACUGCAACGGUAUAUAUUUAAAUCCGAUUUAAAGUAUUAUAUGUCCUGGGCCCACCUUACCAGUUGUGCUGUAUAGCAGUGUAAUGGGAAGCAAAAUUUCAAUUAGGGUCCCAUUAACUGGCAUAUAAUCCUUCUUUAAUGUAAUAGAGGCUAUGGUGUUGCUGUACAAAUCUGCUAGAAGCAGAUUUUAACCCAUGUUUAGUCUCUUUCUUUGGAUCUAAUGGAAUGACUCUUAACUGUUCAUUGUCUGCAUUGUUUCUCAUAUUCUUCAUUAUUUUAAGGUCUGGAAUUAGUCUAUAAAUGGUCGUCGUGAUUACUCAGCUCAUCCUAACUUUUAUAUAUCAUAUAUAUUUCUACUGAAGUAUUUUAAAUAGUAUUUAGAGGUAAAAGUCUAAGUGAACCCAACUGUAAUUUCUAAGCUAUCCUUAUUUCUGGAAGAAGAAUUCUACCGCAUCAAACCAGACUUUUCCUAGUCCCUGAGACCCUAACUUGUGAGGUAUUUUAGUAACAUCACAAGUCAGGCUCUUGGGACCUAGGCGGAGGGGAACCAGCAGCUUUGGACCUUAUUGAUUGUCUGCAGUUACCACCAGAACAAAAGAACAUACAUAGAUUCUGCCUAGGAGAAAAGAACAAUGCUUUUCUUUAUCAUCAGCAACGUUUUCACCAUGACCCAUCCCCAAAAAUACUAUUGUCAGAAACUGUACUCUAAAGUGAUUACACAGUUGCACUGAAAUAGCGUUUGUAUUAUAACGAUCAUACAAAAGCAAUAUAAGAAACCUGUGUAAGAAGCAAAAUUAAAAUAUAAGUGUUUUAAAAUGCUUCUUUUGGUGCAUUUUAAGGUGGCUAGUAUAAGAGGAUAUCUCUUCAGUUAAUGAAGAGAGGGGAUUAUAUUUAUAACUUUUCAUAUGCAUUGAAAUAUAUACAUUAGCUACUUAAAUAAAUCCUGUAUGCCUCCAUAUAACUAUGGCUCAGACUAUGUCAUAUACAGCUAUAAGCAUGCUUGAGGCCUAGAAAUAACAUGAUUUACAAUCUUCUUUAUUGACCCUAUUAGAUUUUACUACCGAUUUAAGAAGAAUGCUGUUUUAUACUUUGUAUUUAUUGCCAGGGCUUUUCUGAGUCUUCUAUCCAACCAACAUACUUUAUAUGUCUUAACAAUUCUAACAAUUAUUUUGUUACGAGAGUCCAAGAGUGAAAGUUUCACCAAUAAUCUGGGAAAAUAUGUCUUUUUAAAAUUUUUUACAGUUUACUGUGUACAUAUCAUGGGCCUACGUGAGAUAAAACAGUAAACGCCACCUAUGAAGUCAAACUGCUUUGACUAGCAACUGCAUAUGAACUGCAUAGUUUUAGUUUUAUAAGAAUUUUAGCUUUAUCGGAGGUAACUAUUCCAACCAUAAGUAAUAUGUCAUAUUUGAAAGUUUAAUAGCCAUUGCCACAUCAGAUAUGUCUUUCUUGGAGAUAGAAUCAGUAUGCUAAAUCUAUUUAAAAAUUUUACAAUAAUGUUACAAAUAUCAAGAUUCAAAAUGGAGAUGACAGACUUUCCUUAAUAGAAGCAACAAAGUGGCUUCAUUCUUUUAACUAUUGCCUUAGAUGGGUGCCAUAAAUUAUGUGUCUUCUGCAUUGUUAAAAUAAAUUUAUGAAUGUAUUU